CCUACGGCGUGCUGCAGUGGGGAAUAUUGGACAAUGGGCGAAAGCCUGAUCCAGCCAUGCCGCGUGUGUGAAGAAGGCCUUCGGGUUGUAAAGCACUUUCAGUGGGGAAGAAAGCCUUGGGGCUAAUACCCUCGAGGAAGGACAUCACCCACAGAAGAAGCACCGGCUAACUCCGUGCCAGCAGCCGCGGUAAUACGGAGGGUGCGAGCGUUAAUCGGAAUUACUGGGCGUAAAGCGCGCGUAGGCGGUCUGAUAAGCCGGUUGUGAAAGCCCCGGGCUCAACCUGGGAACGGCAUCCGGAACUGUCAGGCUAGAGUGCAGGAGAGGAAGGUAGAAUUCCCGGUGUAGCGGUGAAAUGCGUAGAGAUCGGGAGGAAUACCAGUGGCGAAGGCGGCCUUCUGGACUGACACUGACGCUGAGGUGCGAAAGCGUGGGUAGCAAACAGGAUUAGAUACCCUUGUAGUC
rnacentral:rRNA from 1 species